UGUACUGAAGAUUAGCCAUCACGCCAAAUUUUGGAUGCUUAUUAGAAAAAGAACGAAAAAAAUCCAACUUUAAAAGUAAAUUCUCAGUCUAAACAGACCCAGGGACAAAAAUGACUUACAACACUUAGAGCUAAGAGGAGGGAAGCAACAAAGCCAUUGUAAUAAAGCAAAUUUUAGCCGUUUAUUCUUUAAGAAAACAAUUGUAAAAAUCACAACUAAAAGAGCAGGAGUCAGGACAACCUAUGCUAUCAGAAGAGGUAUGCUGCAGUGGUGUCACAUGAAUGAUUGAAUAGAAAUAUGAACAUAAAGACAAAAGAAAAAAAAAACUGAAAUUCAAUCUCACAGAAAUUCAUUAAAAUGACAUACUGAACAACAAUGAUGAAGAUUUUUCCCUUCUGAAAGUUUUUCUUCCAAGUCUUAGUUCUAAGAGAAAACAAUCUAAAAUAUGCUUACUAAUGCAAAUCAAAAGUUAUGUACAUUUUUUUUUUACAAAUAGGUCAACACUGAACAUCUCCAAAUGUGCAAAGGAGAAUUUAUAUAUGUACGCUGCUCUACUGAUUAUUUUGGUUGUUUCCUUUAUAUUCAUAGUUUGAGGAUAGGAGGAAGGUACUAUCUCAUUCUCAUUCUAUAGUCAUUGGCCAAAACAUUCGACCAAUCACCUCUGAUUGGUCAAAGAUCCAAAAUGGAUGGCUAGUAGACCGCUAACAACAACAGUAGCCUUUUUCAUCAUGAAAAACGGGAUCAAUGAUAAUAAAAGUCAUAUAAUGUUGGAUUUAUCAUCAUGGAUAUUUUGUAAAAAGUCUCCAAAAAAGACAGGCCAAACUACAAAUCCAGGGCCAAACUACAAAUCUUCUGAAAAGGCCAAGAUCGCAGGGAAGCCCAGGUUGGAGCGGCGCAAGUGUUAGCUUCUUGCCAAAACAAACUAUUCUCCAGCCCUCCAUUUCUCUCUGCAACUUCUCCCCUGUUUGCACCAAUCUGUUUCUCUCUGGGGGGGACCUGGAGCAUUUUUUUUCCUUAAUCGCUUCCAUCUAUAUUUGCAGGCCUAUUUACUACUUUGUCAUUCUUCCUCUGCCCCUUUGUCCAUUUCUGGGUGUGUUUGCUCUGUUACCAUCUGGCUCUCCUUUCUCCUUUCUCCUAAUCUAUUUUCUUUUCCCCCCCCAAUAUCUUUAUGCUCCCAUUUGUGUUACCCUUAAAGACAAAGGCAUUGAAUCAAUUUCAAUGAUUACUGCAAAUUGCUCGUGAAUCAGUAUCCUCUCUGUCCUCAGUCAUUCAACAUAUAUCGCUGACUGGGUCUGUCUCUGCCACUCAACACUUACGACCAUCAUCGUUAUUAACAAUAUAAAACCCAGUCUAACAAUGCAGUUAUUGGCCAGGUGUACAGAGGUGCGAAAGUAUAUGCAAGAUCUGAACUGCCCUUCCAUUUUUAAAUCUUGUGAGCAUUCAUAUGCAACAUGAAUGAAUUCCUCUGAGAACCAGCCUCAAAGUGUGCGCUAUUGUGUCCUUCUGUACAACCCAUAGUUACAGAGACGUGACAGAGGAGUUUUCUAUUUUAAUGUUAUUUUUUAAUUUUUUUUGCCCUACUUUCAAGUGUGGUUGUUUGAGGACACUUUUCCCUUUAGGCAUGUUUGAGGGCAUUUAAAACUCACUUGUUUUAAAUUUGAAUAUUUAACGCUUCAAGAAAUGCAAUGAUCUUGGCAGUUCCACAAAACUUGGGGCUGCUCUAUGUGAGCAUUUUGAUGUGUGUCUUCACAAAAUGAAUUCUGCAAUUUAAAACAAAAAAUGUACAAAAGAUAUUUUUUGAUAAGUACAGAAGUGAGGAAGGAGAAUGUAAAUCUCCACAAGCCUUUUUGUUCGUAACAGGUUGAUGGAGUAUGACGUACAUUGGAGUAUGAUUUUUCUAUUAUUUAAAAUUGUCUGUUUAGUUUAUCCUUUUGGAUUGUGCACUUG